CACGAGUCCCAAUAAGUAGAUUUUAAACUUCUGACGUUUUGGUAAAACACACUUAAUGGUCGACAUAAAUUACUUUUGCAGUUCGAUUUGCAGGGCCUGGAUUCGUUGCGAUAUCACCACUCAGUAACAUAUAAAGCAGUAGAUGCGAGUUUUUACGGUUUAUAUUGAAUUCUACGAGAUGAUAACGUUUGGUAGGCAUGUAGAACUUUCUUUGUAUCACAUCUCGGUUCUAGUGAACUUAUGGGAACGUUUCCAGGAAUUAGUUUUCUUUUGUUUUCUCGAACAAACGAACUAUAGACUUUGAUUUCAAAGAUAGCCAAAAAAGUGCAGAUAAAUUAAAGUUUCCAGAACGCAUCCGAACGCGAGAACACGUCGUGGACAUGUGUAGGGUUUUGAUUAGUGUACCCACCUCGCCAGAUCGCACAUUAGGAGACGUUGAAACCCCGGAGAGAACAAAAUAUAUGCCAUGGACAACGUCAGGCUUUGGUGCAUUUGAACUCGCUAAAAUGCCGUAUCAAUACGGAUCCGUUUAAAUUCAAACGAACGAGCGGCAAAAUACAAUUAAGUGCCAGUGAAGCUCAACAAGUAAUAUAACAGUUAUGACUUUAAAAACCUGUACCUAAGAAAAUGUGUGCAAAAUACGAACACAUGCCAUGAGCAUUCCUGCAUGAACGUUAUCAAUUAGAAUUAUGGAGAAUAUCUGCUUGGAAAAUUUGCGGUUGUCGCAAGGCAGUCAAGGCGGUAUGUAAUAUACAUGUAUAUAUUAAAUGCCGUUGUAACAAAUUGUGCGUGAUACCGAAGAAAACUUAAAGG